rnacentral:lncRNA from 10 species
CUCCCAAAGUGCUGGGAUUAUAGGCGUGAGCUACCGCGCCCAGCUAUUUAUUUAUUUUGUUGAGACGGAAUCUUACUCUGUCACCCAGGCUGGAGUGCAGUGGUACAAUCUUGGCUCACUGCAAUCUCUGCCUCCUGGGUUCAAGUGAUUCUCCUACCUCAACCUCCUGAGUAGCCGGGAUUACAGGCAUGUGCCACCAUGUCUGGGUAAUUUUGUAUUUUUAGUAGAGAUGGGGUUUCGCCAUGUUGGCCAGGCUGGUCUUGAACUCCUGACCUCAGGUGAUCCACCUGCCUCGGCCUCCCAAAGUGCUAGCAUUAUAGGCAUGAGCCACCAUGCCCGGCCCCGGCCUGUAAGUGUUAAAUAUAGGUGGCUUGCUUCCCAUUUCUUUAAAAUUAAGUUUUUGGUUUUGUUUUUUUUUUUUAAAUCACAUAAUCUGCAUUAUUUUGUUGUUUUAUUUAAAUAAAACACUUAAGAUCUGUGGGUUAAGCAGUGUUUCUUGUCCUCUUAAUAAUAAACAUGGGCAUAAGCUAGCCCACGACUCAAAAAGACUUCACUUUGCCUCAAUCAAUUUUUGCAAAUAAAAUAUAAAACCAGACAUGGUAUUCUCAAAGAAGCCACACAAUUAAUAUUAAAAUAAUUCCCUAUGUGUUUAGUAUUCACCUUUUUCAAACAACAGUUAUAUCUUUGGUCACUGUAUCCUCUUGGUAACACCAAACUCUUCUCUAUAGUGGCGUGACAUGAACCCUCGCAAUUUGAAAGCUGUGUCAUAGAUCAGAGAGUCACUUACAGCUUAGCAAAAAACAUGUAAAGGUCACACUGAGAUUGCCAAGUAAGUAAUCUACAUUACAAUUUACAUCAUUACUUUGGUUGAUUUAACUAGAACCUACUGUAUCACAU